rnacentral:tRNA from 1 species
GGCAGCCGAUAGCCUAGUGGCUAAGGUACAUGACUGGGACCCCUGAGGUUGGUGGUUCAAGUCCCAGUCCAGCCC